GAUGAACGCUGGCGGCGUGCCUAAUACAUGCAAGUCGAGCGAACAGACGAGGAGCUUGCUCCUCUGACGUUAGCGGCGGACGGGUGAGUAACACGUGGAUAACCUACCUAUAAGACUGGGAUAACUUCGGGAAACCGGAGCUAAUACCGGAUAAUAUAUUGAACCGCAUGGUUCAAUAGUGAAAGACGGUUUUGCUGUCACUUAUAGAUGGAUCCGCGCCGCAUUAGCUAGUUGGUAAGGUAACGGCUUACCAAGGCGACGAUGCGUAGCCGACCUGAGAGGGUGAUCGGCCACACUGGAACUGAGACACGGUCCAGACUCCUACGGGAGGCAGCAGUAGGGAAUCUUACGCAAUGGGCGAAAGCCUGACGGAGCAACGCCGCGUGAGUGAUGAAGGUCUUCGGAUCGUAAAACUCUGUUAUUAGGGAAGAACAAAUGUGUAAGUAACUAUGCACGUCUUGACGGUACCUAAUCAGAAAGCCACGGCUAACUACGUG
rnacentral:rRNA from 1 species